UAUUUGAAAAUCUUGCCGUGCAGAGGAAGGAUUAUGCGCUGGGAGUGUUUCAUUUUCAAAUGUUUUUGCACAGAGCAUUUUGCCUCUCACCAAUAUUUCAAUGACGAAUAGUGAGUUUCACUAGAAAAAAGUUUUUCAUUUAAAAUUUGAACACUACAAAAUCAAAAAGGGUUCAGCACGCCUAAUUCUGAAAGAGAGAGAAUUCUGGCUAAAGUAACCAUCUUUUACUUAGAGAAUAAGUCUACCAAAACUCCAUCAUCUGAACCUGAGUCAACCUGCUUAUAAUUUGAGACUUUGGGAGGGGAGCGGAAUUAGGACUUUAAGAGAGAUGUAAGCACAGAGGAAUGCGUCUCUACUGUAAGAAACACAGCACUGCUAAAGCAUGGAGAAACAUAGGCUGACCUGUGGCCUCAGUGUCAUAGGAAGCAGAGGAGCCGUGGCCACCACAUCUCCAAGAGGCCGCCACCCCAUCUGGUUACUUCCAAACUGGAGUGGUCUCAUCUGAUGUGGAUUCUUCUUAAAAUGUUCAUCCCCGACAGUCAACAGCCUGAGGAACCCACCAUCUGCCACCACUCUGCCCUCAAACCUGCUGCUUCUGCAUACUUCUCUCCUGAACUUCUAACAACAUAGGCUUUAUCUUGGAGUCACCCCUCAUUCGUCCUGCUCCUUGGUUCGAAAGACCUCUUAAAUCUUCCUGUAAAAUGCUUCUCACACCCCUUAACUCCCUUCAUUGUUUAUUGCUACUUUCCUAUGUUAGAGGGGUGGCUCUUCAAUUUUUAAACAGGAACGAAGUGGGUGUGGGGGGUGGUCAUAGUCUGGUUGCAAAGGAGGUUUAGGGGUCUAGUUUUGAAGCUGCCUCCCCAGAGCAAAAUGAAAUUUUCUUUAGGUUGUAUGUUGCAAAUUAAUAAUACAGCACAGUUUUAUAUAAGUAUACCUUACAUAAUUUGAGAAAGUGUCCAUAGUGUAUAUCAAAUUAUACAAAUAUAUUUGUUAAAUUUGUGGUAGAGAUUAGGACGGGGAGAUCCCACUUUGUACAGCAAGUAUUAGAAUGGUUUCUUGAAUGGUUCCUUUGACCCCAAGCGCUCUCUCUUUUCUUGCUGCCAAAUCUCCCUGAGGCCCAGCUUCGGUACCGUUACUACUCACCGACCCUCACUGGCUCCUCACUGCCUGCUACGUAAGGAACGGUCAGUCUCUAAAUGGACUCUUGACCCUUCAAAAUAUGAAUCCCACUCA